CUCCUCUCAGGGUCGCAUCUGGAGAGUUUCCAGUCCUCUGCCAGUCUCAGCUACAGAAGGGAGAAUCAAGCAGAGGAAUAUCCGUUCCAUUCCCAGCUUGGGCAGUGGCUAGUGAGUGGAAGGCAACCUGCUACAAGU
rfam:Ornithorhynchus anatinus chromosome 4, whole genome shotgun sequence.